CCAACGGGGAUACCUGGAGAGGUCGCUCUCUCUCAGCUCUGUCCGUGUGGCGUAUGGGAGCGCAGGCCGUCUGGGCUCUGUGGCGUAUGGUCCCCUUCCACGCCGUUGGAGAGCGAGCCGGACCCCUCGUGGUCUGCAGCCUGCAUAUUCCUACUGCUUCUCUGAGUCUUUGGACAAUGACUGAGGAGAUAAACCAUGCAGGAGACAUGU
ensembl:snoRNA SNORA73 Small nucleolar RNA SNORA73 family